AGGUGUUGUUGGGUAGGGGAGCGUUCUGUAAGCCUGCGAAGGUGGCCUGUGAGGGUUGCUGGAGGUAUCAGAAGUGCGAAUGCUGACAUAAGUAACGAUAAAGCGGGUGAAAAGCCCGCUCGCCGGAAGACCAAGGGUUCCUGUCCAACGUUAAUCGGGGCAGGGUGAGUCGACCCCUAAGGCGAGGCCGAAAGGCGUAGUCGAUGGGAAACGGGUUAAUAUUCCCGUACUUGGUGUUACUGCGAAGGGGGGACGGAGAAGGCUAUGUUGGCCGGGCGACGGUUGUCCCGGUUUAAGCGUGUAGGUGUGUGUUCCAGGUAAAUCCGGUUCACUUUAACACUGAGGCGUGAUGACGAGGCACUACGGUGCUGAAGCAACAAAUGCCCUGCUUCCAGGAAAAGCCUCUAAGCAUCAGGUAACAUCAAAUCGUACCCCAAACCGACACAGGUGGUCAGGUAGAGAAUACCAAGGCGCUUGAGAGAACUCGGGUGAAGGAACUAGGCAAAAUGGUGCCGUAACUUCGGGAGAAGGCACGCUGACAC
rnacentral:rRNA from 1 species